CCUACGGGAGGCUGCAGUGGGGAAUAUUGGACAAUGGGGGGAACCCUGAUCCAGCCAUGCCGCGUGUGUGAAGAAGGCCCUCGGGUUGUAAAGCACUUUCAGUGAGGAAGAACGCCUGGUGGUUAAUACCCAUCAGGAAAGACAUCACUCACAGAAGAAGCACCGGCUAACUCCGUGCCAGCAGCCGCGGUAAUACGGAGGGUGCGAGCGUUAAUCGGAAUUACUGGGCGUAAAGCGCGCGUAGGUGGCUUGAUAAGCCGGUUGUGAAAGCCCCGGGCUCAACCUGGGAACGGCAUCCGGAACUGUCAAGCUAGAGUGCAGGAGAGGGAGGUAGAAUUCCCGGUGUAGCGGUGAAAUGCGUAGAGAUCGGGAGGAAUACCAGUGGCGAAGGCGGCCUUCUGGACUGACACUGACACUGAGGUGCGAAAGCGUGGGUAGCAAACAGGAUUAGAUACCCCAGUAGU
rnacentral:rRNA from 1 species